rnacentral:lncRNA from 1 species
CUGAACUAUGCCCCUACUCGAAAAGUAACAGGUCUUUGGCGUGGCUUUAAUAUAUCAUUCAGACAACUGACUGAUAUCAUAAUUCCACUCAAAUAUUUUUAUGUGAAUACAAACAUUUCUCUAAUUAAUAAUCUAUUUUGUAAAUAGUUUAUCUUUCCUCUAUAAUAGUUCAAAUUUUGUGGAGCUAGUAUUAGCUAGAUAGUAAUCCUAUACAAUCUAAAGUGGCCAUGAAUUGCUGCUUUUAUAUAUUUCAUUCUUUUUAUGUGAAAUUGAUUUGCUGAGAUUGACUUUUAAUUAACCAUAUGAUACCAGUCGUUCUGUGCCAUGAUUUUUUGCUCUCCUAUCGUGCGAGCUCCGAUACCCGACAGAAGGCUCCGAGUCAUCGCUGUGCGUCUUAUUUUAAGAAUAGAACAGAUUGCGCCGUUGGUUCUAAAACUCGCUUCUUUCUCAACUCGGCGUCCAAGUUCUUUGCAGUAACAGUCGUGUUUCAGCUAUCCCAGCUGCUGCUGCUUCUCGUCUACUCACGUAAAGAGCUGUUGCUUGCUAGUGUGAAAGUGCGCGUGCUUGCAUCUACGACUUGUUAACCCAUUUGUAGGAAUAAGUUUAUCGUUAACAGAAGCACAGCUUUUACCGUUAUUUAUUCCAACAAGCUUACGUUUCUCGACUCUACUGUGCUUUACUGUUCGUGAUUAGCCUUAAAGAUGUUGUAAUACUAUGGAGUUUAGAAAGUGAUCCUAAACUGGGCAAUAUCUCUUCACAAAACUUUGUACUUCACGUUUGUUCAAGCAGGAGAAAUUUUGGAGGAA